rnacentral:tRNA from 1 species
UGUGGCAGAUUACAUG